UAGGGCUCCGCGUAGUACGAAGUACUUCUCCGCGUCGGGUUUGUUGUAGGCGGGGAAAGAGGAGAGAGAGAAUUAGGGUUUCUCUCUCUCUAGUUCCAGAGAACCGAAUAUCUCUUGAGACGAGAAGAUGGUGAUCUUGAAAAGCUCAGAUGGAGAGGCGUUGGAGCUUGAUGAGAGCGUUGCAGCGGAAUUACAGACCACCUUGCUGGAUCCAACCUGGGUCUUUGCUUAGCUUUUGAUAUGCUCGAUAGAUGCUGUGGAAGUAUAUGCUUGAAGAGAUUCAUGUUUAUUCCAAGAGCUGGAUUUUGUCCAUAUUAUGAAGGAUGGGGAUUCUUAAUCUGCCCGUGUUUGUGUGUUCGUCAGAAUAAGCAAUGCUUCAAUCAAUCUUGUUUGCUCAUCACAAAGAACACAGUAGGUCUUUUAUGACUCCAAUUAGCCUUUGUUAUGCAAGUCAUUAAGAUAUGUGUUGUGUGUCCAUUGUUUAUAACUAUCCAAUGUCUCCAAUGCUGUUUUUGUAUCAGUGUUUGAUAGCGGAUACGAGAUUAGAGUUACUGGGCAUGGGUAGUGAAAUGGGCUUUGAUGUAAAGGGUAUCAAUGGUUAUUGACUCUGUCCUUGUGGCUGUUGCCUUGCGGGUGCGCUUGCAAGCCAGCCAGUCUACCUCAAUAAAAAUUUUAUUUUUUGGGGGGUUUGAGGGGAGGCUUUUGACGGUAUUUUUUCCCGGGCCUCCCCUCUGUGUGUCUGUGUGUGUUUUUGUGCCUUGCUCUUUUGUUUCUUUUGCCGUUCUUUCCUUUUCUUUUACGUUGAAUUACAUAUGCUGUGGAUAAAUCGAUCAAUGUGUUGGCAUCGGCGAGCACUGAAACAUUUAAUUAUUGUUCCAAAUGAAAAAUGGACGUUUCCUGCAGUUCAUGGCUCACAAAGGUACGAAUAUUUAGAAAUUUAGUCUUUCCCUUUCUAUUACCUCGACUUGCAAUUGGUCGUGCAUAUAUCGAUCAGUGCAUUGGCAAUCACUCUGAAACCACAAAUUAUUGGUUUAAAUGACAAAACUGAUCUGACCUGUGACUUACACAGGUGUGGAUAUCUUGAAAUGUAAUCUUUGCCACUAUAUUGUUCCCCUUUUUUCUUUUAACUUUCUGUGUCUACUACUACCUGUCAUGGUAGUUCCCGCUCCAUAUCACAUGGCCAGCACAUACAUGAUCAAUGAUUGGCAAUUGUUGACCACUCUGAAACCAUGAAUUAUCGGUCCAAAUGACAAAUGGACGUGAACAGUUGUUGAUGUCUUACACAGGUACGGAUGUUAUUACCUUAUUUUAUUUUAUUUUUAUGUUUAUCAAAUUUUUGGGUCCUUGCAAACAUGAUUUCAUUUCAUUUGAUACACAAGCUCUUAUACGCCAAGAGGACUUGUGUUUUCCUUCCAAUAAUCUCUUUGGCAUUAAUUAGCGGUUAGCCUUGUGUUUGAUACCUUAAGAAGAAGUUAUUUCACUAGGGUUAGUGAUGAGCUUUUAUGCCUCACAGAAAAUAACAAAACAUUAAAAUUUUCAUAUUUUUCUUAGCCAAAAAAUUGCUGAUACUUAUGGAAGAUCUCAGUGGUUAAUUUUUCCCUGAAUGGUUAUGAAUUUGGAUGUUCUUCGAGCAGAUGUUAAAGGAAAUGUCUGCCAUGAAGUGUUUAUUCGAACUUAGUGUUCCAAGUGUUAUGUUUAUAUUUUUUAAAUGUUCUUUCUUCCAGAUUUAGAUGAUAGCAUGGUGGUUUUUUAUGUGAUGAGCUUUAGUUUGCUGAAACCUUUGAAAUGCUCAGUAUGGUACACCUUUUCUUUGGUAUUCAUGUUCAAAUUUUUUGUGGUAAUAUUGCCUUUUUUUCACUUUUAAAACUUACAAAGGUUCAUGUUUCAGUAGUUUGUUCUCAUUCUGCAAAAGUGACAUAAUCACAAAUGGUGUUUUGAUAUUUUGUUGGUUACUUAUGUAUAGAGGCAUUGUGUCAUAUUUUUGCUAUAGAUGCCAUUUUUUUUUCCAUUUGCAAUUCUUCUCAUGUUACUUCUCCGUAUUUUAAUUUUUCGUCAGUAGUCUAAAAUUGCUCUUCUUUUAGACUAUUCUUUUUCUUUAUGACCUACCUUGCAAAAGGUCCCUCUUGUUAGCAGUUAUUUUUUACUCAUGGUGUAUGCUAUCCUUUACCGUCAAACUUGUCCAUACUUCAAACUUCCUCUUUGUUUUUUAUUUUAGCUUUUGCUAAGAACAUUGCAUUUCGUUUACUUUUUAUUUUUUGAACCUUUGACUUCAUUGCGUUAGUAUAUUAUUGAGAUUUGUAAUGUUGAUUUUGAUUACAUUGGUUAGUUUGUUGCUAUAUGUUUGUAUAUUUAUUGUUGCUCAUCUUUUUCUUUUUGUUUGUUUUUUUGGUUUUUAUGGUUUUUGCUUGGCUUUUGAUACACUCGAUAGAUACUGUGGAAGUAUAUGCUGAAAGAGAUCCAUGUUUUUUCUAAGAGCUGGAUUUUGUCCACAUAAUGCAGGAUGAGAAUUGUUAAUCUGCUCGUAUUGCUCGUAUUUGUGUGUUCAUCAGAAUAAGCAAGGUUUCAAUCCAUCUUCUUUGCUCAUCACAAAGAACACAAUAGGGUCUUUUAUGCCUCCAAUUAGCCUUUCUUAGGCAAGUCAGUAAGAGAUGUGUUGUGCGUCCUUACAAAGCAUUGUUUAUAACUAUCCAAUGUCUCCUAUGCUGUUUUUUGUAUCAUUGUUUGAUAGCUGAUACGAGAGAUUAGGGUUACUGGGGUUGGGUAGUGAAAUGGGCUUGAUGUAAUGGGUAUCAAUGGUAAUUGACUUUUGUCCUCAUGGCUGUUGCCUUGUGGGUGCGCUUGCAAGCCAGCCAGUCUACCUCAAUAAAAUUUUAUGUUUUUGGGGGUUUUGAGGGGAGGCUUUUUAGGGCUUUUUUUUUCCUGAGCCUCCCCUCUGUGUGUCUGUGCGUGUUUUUGUGUCUUGCUGUGUUGUUUCUUUUGCCUUUUUUUUCCCUUUUCUUUUACUUUGAAAUACAUACACUGCGAAUACAUCACAAUCAAUGCAUUGGCAUCAGCGAGCACUCUGAAACAGCGAAUUAAUUAUCCAAAUGACAAAUGGACUUUACCUGCAUUGGAUGGCUCGCAAAGGUAUGAAUAUUUAGAAAUUUAAGCUUUCCGUUUCUGUUACCUUGAAUUGCAUUGGUUAUGCAUAUUUUGAUCAGUGCAUUGGCAAUCACGGACCACUCUGAAACCGCAAAUGAUUGGUUCAAAUGACAAACGGAUCUGUCCUGUGGCUUACACGGAUAUGGAUAUCUUGAAAUGUAAUCUUUGCCACUAUAUUAUUCCCGUUUUUCCUUUAACUUUCUGUGUCUACUGCUACCUGUCAUGGUAGUCCCCCCUCCGUCUCACAUACACAUAUGAUCAAUGAUUGGCAAUCGUCGACCACUCUGAAACCAUGAACUAUCAGUCCAAAUGACAAAUGGAUGUGAGCAAUUGUUGAUGGAUUACACAGUUACGAAUGUCAUUACCUAAUAUUUUUUAUAUCUAUCAAAGUUUGGGUCCCUGCAAACAUGAUUUCAUUUCAUUUGAUACACAAGCUCUUAUACGCCAAGAGGAAUUGUGUUUUCCUUCCAAUAAACUCUUUGGCAUUAAUUAACGGUUAGCCUUGUGUUUGAGUUGUGAAUCUUAAAAAAAAAAAGAAAAAAAGAAGAAAAAGCACAAGGUAUCUAUUAUCAGCUGCAAUGUGUAUUUCAGUUGCAUAUUAUAUCCAGUUGAGUUCAUAUUAUCUUUGUUUACAUGUAUGAAACUUGUCAUUAAAAAAGUACUAAUUAUUGGUCCAUAUGACAAAUGGAUUUGACCCAGGUUAACACAGGUAUGAUUAUCUCAAAGUUUAAUCUUUGCUGCGAUGUUUGUUUACUUUUAUCUUGCUGUGGCUCCUCCACCUGUUGUGGUGGUGAAAUGGGCUGAUGUAAAGGGUAUCAAUGGUAUUUGACUCCUGUUCUUGUGGCUGUUGCCUUGUGGGUGCGCUUGCAAGCCAGCCAGACUGCCUUAAUAAAAUUUUCUUUUUGGGUUUU